AUUGAACGCUAGCGGGAUGCUUUACACAUGCAAGUCGAACGAGUGGCGGACGGGUGAGUAAUGUAUGGGGACUGCCCGAUAGAGGGGGAUAACUACGGGAAACGGUAGCUAAUACCGCGUACUAUAGGAUAGCCCAAAUGGGAUUAGCUAGUUGGUGAGGUAAAGGCUCACCUAGGCGACGAUCCCUAGCUGGUCUGAGAGGAUGAUCAGCCACACUGGGACUGAGACAAGGCCCAGACUCCUACGGAGGCAGCAGUGGGGAAUAUUGCACAAUGGGCGCAAGCCUGAUGCAGCCAUGCCGCGUGUAUGAAGAAGGCCAUAGGGUUGUAAAGUACUUUCAGUCGGGAGGCGUUACCGACAGAAGAAGCACCGGCUAACUCCGUGCCAGCAGCCGCGGUAAUUC
rnacentral:rRNA from 1 species